GGCUCACAGAGCCAGAAAAGGAGAUGAAAUCCCUUUAAUGGUUCAUUGUCAUCAUCUUCAUCCAGCGUCCUUCAGAAGUAUAGAGGGUUGUCUGCCAACGCUAACUGGCCAGCUCUGACAGGAGGUGCGUGGCCCAGGAGGAGCCAUCAGGCCAGUUCUCUGGGAUACUGCUGUGUCUCCAGCUCUGCAGUUUGCUCUGCAUCACUCAGCGGCAGACGGAGAGGCAGACACGAGCCCCUUGUGAGCCCUCCUCCUUACCGUCAUCCCACAAUGCUCUGAAAUAAGGAGGCAAAUGGCUGAGGUCCCCUCAGUUGUAGAUGUGAUUGAGUUCUAUCUACCAGAAGCAUAUGCCUCCUGGAAGCCCGGUUCUAACACCUCCCACAAAAUCCUUCAAGCGCUUUUUUCUGUUCCAAUGUUUGCUUAUGGGGGACCCAGUGAAGUGCUUCAGAGCCCUAGAGAUAUGCUGAGUCAUAUGAGGGGUCAGCAAACUUUUCCUGUAAAGGGUCAGAUAAUAAACAUUUUAAGCUUUGUAGACUGUAUAAAGUCUCUGUUUCUUCUCCCCCUCCUCCUCCUCUUUCUCCUUCAGCUUCUUUCCUUUAAAUAUGUACAAAACCUUUCUUCUUUUCCAAAAUCUGUCUAUAUUUGA
rnacentral:lncRNA from 1 species